GGGAUCUUCUGUUUCCGGCCCAAAUUCAAUAUGAAGGACAGCGGAUAGAUGUUGCAGGCUCUCGCUAUAAAAAUGGCUAACUGUCAGGCAAGAGAACGUUGAGGAAAACACGACAAUCAGGGGAAAGUUAGGAAGCAAUCAGAAUUUGAGAGCUGUAAAGAACUUCAGCAGCCACCUAGCUGAACCUAUCCAUGAAAGGAAUCCCCUUUAUACCAUACCACAUAAGUGGUUGUCCAGUCUCUGCUAGAAGGCCUCCAAGGAGAGGGCACCCACUCCUGAUAGAAGCAGAUUUCAUUAUAAGAAAACAUAUAUUGUGAGAGCUGAACUGACUUGGAGAAGACUUCACAGAGCUAAUAUAAUGAUCUUUGAUUUGCUGUUUUUCUCAAAUCUCCUACAAUUAUCUGACAUGACUUCAAAGUAAUGCAAGACCUGGCAAGAUUUGAUAAAACUACCUCCUUCAUCACCUUUAAUAAAUAUUUCAGUAUGCUGGGUGGAAUGAUUAAAACUUUAAUCUCAGGGACAAUAAGGACACAGAGUAAAUUAAAUUAAAUAAUACCUUCAUAAGGGACCAAGAAUUUGUUAGAGUAGGUCAGCUACAUAAAAUGAAAGAAAAAUGGCAGAGUUUAUAAGAUUCCACUAUCAUUACUGUUUAUUGACUAAAAUAAACAAACAAAAAACAUUUGAUUCUGUAGAGUAAAAUCCUGCCUUAAAGACUUUCUUCCUGGGUGUGUGUGUGUGUGUGUGUGUGUGUGUGUGUGUGUGUGUGAUAUGGAGGGACACCUCCCAUGCACAUAUUAAAAUCAUAUAAGAUGGGAUAACAAAGGAAAUUUUGCUUUGUGAUACUGGUUAUUAACAUGUCAGGUAUUAUACAAGGAAGUUUGCCUGUCAAAUGGGUUUGCCACUGUUAUUGAUCAAAUGAGAUAAUAUAUGCAAACCUUAAAACAUUAUAUGAAUAAAUAAUAAUCAUUCAAAAUUUUA